UAGGGGUUUGAUUAUGGCUCAGAAUUGAACGCUGGGCGGUAUGCUUAACACAUGCAAAGUCGAACGGAAACGAAACUAGCUUGCUAGUUGUUCGUCGAGUGGCGGACGGGUGAGUAACGCGUAGGAAUCUACCUAGUAGUGGGGGAUAGCCCGAAGAAAUUCGGAUUAAUACCGCAUAAUCUAUUCGUAGUAAAGUGGGGGACUUUCGAGCCUCACGCUACUAGAUGAGCCUGCGUAAGAUUAGCUUGUUGGUAGGGUAAAGGCCUACCAAGGCUACGAUCUUUAGCUGGUCUGAGAGGAUGAUCAGCCACAUCGGGACUGAGACACGGCCCGAACUCCUACGGGAGGCAGCAGUGGGGAAUAUUGGACAAUGGGGCGACCCUGAUCCAGCAAUACCGCGUGUGUGAAGAAGGCCUGAGGGUUGUAAAGCACUUUCAAUUGUGAAGAAAAGUUAGCGGCUAAUAACCGUUAGCCUUGACGUUAACUUUAGAAGAAGCACCGGCUAACUCCGUGCCAGCCGCCGCGGUAAUACA
rnacentral:rRNA from 1 species